GGGCCAGUGGCUUAGCCAGGUAGAGCGACAGGCUCUUAACUUGUUGGCCGAGGGUUCAAAGCAUCCAUUGGUUUCCA
rnacentral:tRNA from 1 species